rnacentral:misc_RNA from 1 species
GAUGAAGAACGCAGCGAAAUGCGACAAGUAAUGUGAAUUGCAGAAUUCCGUGAAUCAACGAAUCUUUGAACGCACAUUGCGCCCCCUGGUAUUCCGGGGGGCAUGCCUGUCCGAGCGUCAUUGCUGCCCUCAAGCACGGCUUGUGUGUUGGGCCUCCGUCCUCCUCCCGGGGGACGGGCCCGAAAGGCAGCGGCGGCACCGCGUCCGGUCCUCGAGCGUAUGGGGCUUCGUCACCCGCUCUUGUAGGCCCGGCCGGCGCUUGCCGACACAUCAAUCUUUUUUCCAGGUUGACCUCGGAUCAGGUAGGGAUACCCGCUGAACUUAAGCAUAUCAAUAAGCGGAGGA